rnacentral:rRNA from 1 species
GACGAACGCUGGCGGCGUGCUUAACACAUGCAAGUCGAACGGAAAGGCCCUGCUUGCAGGGUGCUCGAGUGGCGAACGGGUGAGUAACACGUGGGUGAUCUGCCCCUUACUUUGGGAUAAGCCUGGGAAACUGGGUCUAGUACUGGAUAGAACCAUGCUGUAGGUGGUGUGGUGGAAAGAUUAGUUUCGGUAAGGGAUGAGCUCGCGGCCUAUCAGCUUGUUGGUGGGGUAAUGGCCUACCAAGGCGUCGACGGGUAGCCGGCCUGAGAGGGUGGACGGCGACAUUGGGACUGCGAUACGGCCCAGAAUCCUACGGGAGGCAGCAGUGGGGAAUAUUGCACAAUGGGCGCAAGCCUGAUGCAGCGACGCCGCGUGGGGGAUGACGGCCUUCGGGUUGUAAACUCCUUUCAGCCAUGACGAAGCCCUUGUGGUGACGGUAGUGGUAGAAGAAGCACCGGCUAACUACGUG